CAUCAGCAGUCCCAUACUUGAGUACUCUGUGGUAUCCUGGAGAGCCCUGUCAUCUCCUGUGAUGUCACCAGUGUUGCUGUGAUACCAGCAGGCUAUGGGGCAUUUAUUCAGUGCCUUUAUGGUUAACCUAUAGACAUGGUGGCAAGAUGAAGCAAGCUACUUGGAAAAGAGAAUGGAGAACAUAGAGAGACCAGACAGAAGCAGAAGAAAGUUGGCCUUUGGUACCAUUGUAACACAGCAAGAGACAAAUCUUCCGAGGAUGCCAUAUUGAGCCUUGGCAGGGGAUGGAGUGCUUCCUGCAGGAGUCAGGCAGCAGACCUCCUGCAGGCAGAUCAGACUACCACCAUCCCCCAUGAGACCCUGUAACCAAGCCCCACCUCCCCCCAUCCCACCCAUUCUUCAAGACUGCAACUGUUCCCUGAGACAGAGAUGGCCAAGACCCGAUUGGACUAAGAGGUGAGUCUUUAUCCUCAAUCCUGAACACCCCAGACCCUAGGCUUUGGGCCCAGGGGCACAACCCUGCACCCCUACACCACUACCCAUUGCAGUUCCAGUUUCGGGCCAGUCAGCAGGCAGACCUACUGCAGGCAGUUCAGACUUCCACCAUCCCCCACCAGACCUUGUAACUCACAAGUCCCACCCCUCCCAACCCACCUGUGUGCCAAGAUUACAACUACUCCCUGAGACAGAGCCCACAAGGGCCAACUGGACUAAGAGCUUCUCCCUGAGACAAACAGUCCAUCAGAACCCAAUAGACCAAGAGCUCCCACUGGACCAAGAUUAUUGAUCCGACUGAGAGAGCCUCCCUCAGACACAGACACCGCUUGCACCAAGUGGAGAAAGAGAUGGAUAGAGGUCAGUGCAAAAGUACAGUCAACAACAAAAAACACACCAUGGUUCCAUCAGAACCUACACCAGCAAGACCUGAACAUCCCAACACAGAGGAAACAGAAGAAAUCGACCUUAAAAAUGAUCUUAAGAAGAUGUUAGAGAUCUUUAAAGAGGAAAUGAAAAAUUCCCUUAAAGAAUUAGAGGAAAAGUCAAACAAAAAAUGGGAAGCAAUCAGUAAAUCCCUUGAAAGCCAAGAGAAAGCAAUUAAAUAUUUGAGGGAAACAGCUCAAGAUUUGAAA